GCACUGCUGAGGAGUCCCAUAAUAGGACGAAGAAACCGUCGUCCAGUGC
rnacentral:hammerhead_ribozyme from 1 species